GACGAACGCUGGCGGCGUGCUUAACACAUGCAAGUCGAACGAUGAAGAAGAGACACGCGCACUUCGGUUCAAAUUUCACUUCGGAUUAGUGGCAGACGGGUGAGUAACGCGUGAGCAACCUACCUCUUACAAAGGGAUAGCCUCGGGAAACCGUGAUUAAUACCAUAUGACACAUUCAUAAGGCAUCUUAAGAAUGUUAAAGCUACGGCGGUAAGAGAUGGGCUCGCGUCCCAUUCGCUAGUUGGUGAGGUAACGGCCCACCAAGGCGACGAUGGGUAACCGGCCUGAGAGGGUGAACGGUCACAUUGGAACUGAGACACGGUCCAAACUCCUACGGGAGGCAGCAGUGGGGAAUAUUGCACAAUGGAGGGAACUCUGAUGCAGCGACGCCGCGUGAGCGAUGAAGGAAUUCGUUUCGUAAAGCUCUGUUCUAUGGGAAGAAAAGGACUGUACCAUAGGAGAAAGCCCCGGCUAAAUACGUG
rnacentral:rRNA from 1 species